AGAAGUUUGGCAGGAAAAUUCCCUAAGAGCCAAGAAGAAAAGAGUCCAGUUUUUUGGAAAUAUGUCUCUAAGUAUUUUAGGCAUUCCUUGUCAGUAUUAGGCAUUUCCAUGAAAAAAGAGGUUUGCAUGCUGGUAAUGCAACCUUUGAAGCUUUGUAAAGGAAACAUAUAUGUAUAUAUUUAUGUAUAUGUAAGUAUGUGAAUGUGUGCAUUUUGCAUUCCAUUUGAAGAAAAUGCCACUUCUGUUUAAAUUAUUUGAUAGAGGUUUGGGUUUUUGAGAUUUGCUGGUGAAAUUAGUGAUGAAAAAUAAAUGAACCUUCCCUCAUCUUCUUCCCCUGUCCCUCCCUCUAAUGAGAUCUUACUAAUUUUUUUUUUUUUUUGUAAUGUUAUACAACUUUUUUUGAAGGCAUCAUUUUGGAGGGUCUAAAAUUACUGAUUAAACAUAAUUGAAAUUAAGCAAUCCAAAGCUGCUGAAGUAUGUCUGAGCUCUCUCCAGUGCCCUGUAGCUCUUAGACUUAAAUUAGUCAUGCAAUCAUAUGGUAGAGGUCAGCAAGGACAUUUAUUCAGUCAUACCUUCUUUUAGGUAACUGAGCAUUCUUUUAACUAAUUAAACCACUGCAUUGGGACAGAUCUGCCCUGGAGCAUCUACAAUCUGAUAUAAAUCUGAAUACGGGAUUCUUUUGUUUCUAAAAGCUUUGCUAUAAAUGAAAAACAACACUUGAUGUAUUAAUUUUUGGUUUCAAGACUGUCUAAGCCUCAGUAUAAAGUUGAAGAAACCAAAUCUCACAUUGCCUACCCUGGCAUGGUCUCUUGUUGAAUCACUGGAGUUCCUUUCAUUUUGGCACUGAUACUGUUUUCUUCUCUCAUUUGAGACAGUAAUGGUAGUGUUGACAGAUGUCUUAAAUAUUGGCCACCUUUAUCUAAGGUGGGAAAUAAUACAUGUACAGUUUGGCAAAUGGAUAAAAUCCUGUGGCAUCAACUACUUUUCAAAUAGAAAAGUUAUUGAUUUUAUACAAUCAGUUGGUAUGGUCUGUGUCAAAAACCAAGAGACCAUUAUUUAUUUUUUUUUUUUUUUUUAAGAGAGAGAGAGAGAAUUUUUUCAAUAUUUAUUUUUUUUAGUUUUUGGCGGACACAACAUCUUUUUUUGUAUGUGGUGCUGAGGAUCGAACCCGGGCCGCACGCAUGCCAGGCGAGCGCGCUACCACUUGAGCCACGUCCCCAGCCCAGAGACCAUUAUUCUUGAAGUUAGUUUAUUUUAAAUGUAUGGUUGUCUCCAGUUUGUUUUCCUGUAAGUGCAGAUAGUUAAAAUCUAAAACUGAAUGUUAGCCUUGAAGGUUAAAUAAACUCUACAUUGUAUCUAGGUUAAUCUUUAUAAAGCAUUAGAAUCUAAAAGCCAAGCAAAAUAGUAUUAGACUGAAAUUAUCAAUAGUUUGCAAAGCCUUCUAAGCUUUUGAACUUCCAGAACUUUUACAAUACUGCUGUCAUAAUUUCCCCCAUUUUUAAUGUAUUCAGAGGAUAAAUGAAGUAAACAUCACAAAAAAUAUUAGAGUGUAUAAAAUUCUAAACUGCGAUACUUAAUCUGGAAUUUUCAAAUUUGCACUGAAAGGUUUUAUUGAAAUAAUGCCUCUAAAAUGAUGAAAAUAAGUCACAAGCCUUUAACAUCAAUUUUAAGCUAUUACGUUUAAGAAUCCUUUUGGAAAUUAUAAAUCUUGUGGAAAUACACAGGAACUUUGCGAUAAUUGACCCUCUACAUCACCAAAUUAGUUUAACAUAGAUAUGACCAAGGUGAUCAAGUAAUUGGAAGUAAGAAAAAGCAUCAUUAUAAUGUCUUGUCACUAACAUGGCACUUCAACAGAUAGCUGAUGCUAGGCCAGUGCUUCAUUUGCUUUUCAAAUAUCUAUUGCUUAAAGUCACAGUUUCCUAAGGGUAUAGUUUUGUGUUCCUGCCUUAUUUAAAGUAGUUGAUUUUUUUUUUUUUUUUUUGUGGUGCUGGGUCUAACCCAAGUCCUCGAGCAUGCUAUGCAAGAGCUUUACCACUGCGCUACAUCCUCAAGCCCAAUUAUAACUUAUUUUGAAAGAUUUUACUUGUGAAGUAAAAUUCUUUCUUUCAUUGGAGGUAAAAGUGUGAGGUGAUCAGGAAGUUUCUUCUGGAAUUUUCUCAAGUCCUUGUACUCUAAAAUAGCCUGUGAUACCAACCAAAAUGGUAGUAAAUUCUUCGUCUUUCUUUGUUCUUUCAGUCAGAGGUAUUUAUUAAGUACCUACUGUGUGCUUAGCACUCAAAGUUGAUAAAAAUUAUAGUUAAAAAAAAUGGCUUUUAGCCACAGGCCUUUUCCAGCAAAAAGUAAGAAAUAAAAGAUGAGAGUGAUGUUUGACAAUUCCUGGAAAUUUCCUAGAGAAAAAAUGAAAUUGAGAAUUUGUGCACAGUGCCUUGUCCAUAAUAGGUACUCAAUAAACAAUUAUUCCUCAUAGAGUCUCUUGCCAUGGUUUAUAGUGUUUUAUGAAAUUUGUCUUAAUUGAAAAAAGACCAAAUAUUUCAAAUAAGCUUAUAGGCAGCUGUAUCCAGUUAAAAUAUAGGGUUGUACAGUUAGCUCAUAGAAUGUUAUUUUGCACUAGUCGUCACUUAGAAAGAUGGGGUUCCUGUAGAUUUUUUGGUGCUAAGGGAUACUUUGUCAUUAUGAUGAAGUAAGUAUUAAGUGUCAGAUAAAUAGCACACAGAAUAGUUCGUUCUGCUGGUCUGUUUUGUUUUUUUUUCCUUGUUGUUUUUAAUUGUAAAAUGUUAUCAAUCAAACUAUUGUAGCAGCUACAAAAUAAUUCACCAGCAUGACAAAAUGGUCAAAAAAUGAGUCAUCAGCACUUCAGAAAUGAAAGCAACUUUUGAAAUUUUCUUUUAAAAUUGUCAAAUAUAUUUUAUGAAGAAUUUAUAAAAGGGGGGAAAUGAUUGUAAUUUAUUGUUCAUGACAGUUUUGUUUUUUUUUAAUAAAGUGAGUUUCAACAAAAAACUGAAGA
rnacentral:lncRNA from 1 species